rnacentral:rRNA from 1 species
UACGAAGGGUGCAAACGUUGCUCGGAAUUAUUGGGCGUAAAGCGCACGUAGGCGGCAUCGCAAGUCGGAUGUGAAAUCCCUCGGCUCAACCAAGGAAGUGCAUCCGAAACUGCAGAGCUUGAGUACCAAAGAGGAUCGCGGAAUUCCCGGUGUAGAGGUGAAAUUCGUAGAUAUCGGGAGGAACACCAGUGGCGAAGGCGGCAUCCUGGCCCUGACCUGACGCUCAGGGGCGAAAGCGUGGGGAGCAAACCGG